UUAAAUGGCUGCGGUAUUUUGACCGUACUAAGGUAGCAUAAUCAUUAGUUUUUUAAUUGAAAGCUAGAAUGAAGGGUUGGAUGAAAAAUUAACUUUCUAAAUUAAAUUUAAUUAAAAUUUUAUUUUUAAGUUAAAAAGCUUAAAUGAUAUUAAAAGACGAGAAGACCCUAUAGAGUUUUAUAAAUUAUUUAAAUUUAAUUAAAUUUUUUUGUUUAUUUAAUUGGGGUGAUUAAAAAAUUUAAUUAACUUUUUUUUUAUAAUUAUAUAAAUUAAUAAUUAUUUGAUCCAAAUAUUUUGAUUAUAAGAUUAAAUUACCUUAGGGAUAACAGCGUAAUAUUACUUUAGAGUU
rnacentral:rRNA from 1 species